GCUAUACAUGCAGUCGAGCGAAUGACGAAGAAGCUUGCUUCUUCUGAUUUAGCGGCGGACGGGUGAGUAACACGUGGGCAACCUGCCCUGUAGAUUGGGAUAACUCCGGGAAACCGGGGCUAAUACCGAAUAAUCCAUUUCCUCACAUGGGGAGAUGUUAAAAGACGGCAUCUCGCUGUCACUACAGGAUGGGCCCGCGGCGCAUUAGCUAGUUGGUGAGGUAACGGCUCACCAAGGCGACGAUGCGUAGCCGACCUGAGAGGGUGAUCGGCCACACUGGGACUGAGACACGGCCCAGACUCCUACGGGAGGCAGCAGUAGGGAAUCUUCCACAAUGGACGAAAGUCUGAUGGAGCAAUGCCGCGUGAGUGAAGAAGGUUUUCGGAUCGUAAAACUCUGUUGUGAGGGAAGAACAAGUACGAGAGUAACUGCUCGUACCUUGACGGUACCUCAUUAGAAAGCCACGGCUAACUACGUGCCAGCAGCCGCGGUAAUACGUAGGUGGCAAGCGUUGUCCGGAAUUAUUGGGCGUAAAGCG
rnacentral:rRNA from 1 species